rnacentral:rRNA from 1 species
GUGGGGAAUUUUGGACAAUGGGCGCAAGCCUGAUCCAGCAAUGCCGCGUGCAGGAAGAAGGCCUUCGGGUUGUAAACUGCUUUUGUACGGAACGAAACGGUCCUGGCUAAUAUCCGGGGCUAAUGACGGUACCGUAAGAAUAAGCACCGGCUAACUACGUGCCAGCAGCCGCGGUAAUACGUAGGGUGCGAGCGUUAAUCGGAAUUACUGGGCGUAAAGCGUGCGCAGGCGGUGCUGUAAGACAGGCGUGCAAUCCCCGGGCUCAACCUGGGAAUUGCGCUUGUGACUGCAGUGCUGGAGUGCGGCAGAGGGGGAUGGAAUUCCGCGUGUAGCAGUGAAAUGCGUAGAUAUGCGGAGGAACACCGAUGGCGAAGGCAAUCCCCUGGGCCUGCACUGACGCUCAUGCACGAAAGCGUGGGGAGCAAACAGGAUUAGAUACCCGAGUAGUCC